rnacentral:lncRNA from 1 species
GCAACUUUAACGAAUUAUGAGUACAUUUCAUGUAACUUAAUAUACUUAGUGUCAUUGUAGUGCGGGUCAAUUAUGGUAACCAUCCAAUCUUUAACUGCGAAUAGGAACAAGACAAAAUGGCAUUGAUUGGUACUACACACCGGCAUGAAUAUGUAUUUGCAUUCGUGUAAAGGUGGACCAACAUCUUGGUUAACAUACGGAUCGCAAAAACUUCAUGCAGUAUUCACGUUAGUGCAGGGCACAUAGCUCUGCCCAAGAUGCAUGAAGAAUGAAUUCAUGAAACCAAAAUGGGACCACCUUUGUAUUCCCCGCGACCUAUAGUAUUCCUCUCUGUCUCGUAGCAACAACAUAUAAGUGUCGAUGACAUGCUUGAAUAUCCAACUCCCAGGCCCUAAGGAUUGCACUGCAUUGUGGUCUAAUUCAUAUAACUGGUGCGGAUGUGAUAAAGGAUAUAAAUCCCCUUCUGGUGCCACCACGUUUCCAAACAUAUGUUUAUUUAUAAAUGUCUCCUUCCAAUCUUUAAGUCUUUUAGAUAAGGACCCUUUUGGUCCAUAAGAGAUGUGGUCUCCCGCAUCUUGUACCUGAUUGAGACCCAAAUGUACAUUAUAAUUAUAUAGAAAUAAUAAUUAAAACCAUCACUAUUAACAUAACUAUAUAUACCUUUUGUGAACUAGAUCCC